CAGAAUGGUUUGGGUUGGAAGGACCUUGCUCCAAUCCCUGCAGUGGGCAGGGACACCUUCCACUAGACCAGGCUGCUCAAAGGACGAUUCAGCCAGGCCUGGAACACUUCCAGGGAUGGGGCAGCAAUCACUACAGAUGCUACUGUCUCUCUGAAGUAGACUUAGAGGAAUUCUCUGGAGGAACUUGAAUUGAAGCUUCAAGGCUUUGGGCAGGCAAAUAAUGCCAGAGGCUAUUCCAGGAGCACCCUGCAGUGACUUAAAGGACACUUGGCACACCCCGAUCACCUUCUCCAGAGUGCUGCUAGAGGAUGCUCAGCUCAGGUCCUGUUGGAACAAAUGAGACAGAAAGAAGCCCCAAGAAUGCCUGAAUUAAGAACAGCAGGGUUCAGUACUUGGUACCCAUUUGGAGGGAGGGGAAAGUGAAACAAGAUAGCAGAGGCAGAUAUGCAAAAAGUUGCCUUUGGCAUCAGGGAGUCAACAGAUUGUGAAAUAUAGCUCGGGAGAAAUGUGGGCAGAGGGAAUUUACUUUAGCUCAUGGCUGGGACUAAUUUGUGUUGUUGUGGUGUUCACACAUCUGAGCCCACCUGACAGAAGUCUGCAUCUCUCCAUGCCUCAGUAGUAACUACACAGCAUCCUGUAAAUGUAAAUGCAUAAGACAGGCUAUAAAUGUCUAUUUGGUGUUUCUAGAGCCUGUUGUUAUUUUAUCAUGUGUUUGAUACAUAGAGGUAAUACCUGGAGCUGGUACCACCCUAGUUCAGGUGAGACAAGCACAAAGCAGGCUGAAUCAGGGAGUCAGUCCUUUCCCCACUGCCAAGCACAGGACAAAGAUUUGCUGAUCAACCACGAUUUUUGGUUGAUCCAUUUUCAGCAAGUAUCUUUUGCAUCAGCAAGUCCUGCCUCUUCAAAAAUUAAACUGUUUUGCACAAGUGUGUCCCUUUUGAUCACAAAUAGGUGAAGGCAACUGAUGUUUGUUCAGUGCUCACAACUUGGCUUGAGCUGUGCAAAAGCUGUGCUGAAAUCUAUGCUCUGCCCACUUUGCAAUUAAGAUUUGAACCUGCACUUUCCUAUUUCUUUGGAAAGUUUCCUAGCUGUUUAAUUGCUUUUUUCAAUUUUUUUUUUACCAAAGAGUUGUAUCUGCCUAGCUGGAGUUAGUGUCCUGCUGUUGAAGUGCCUGUGUACAUGUCAGUCCUCCUAUAACAACAGCUGCUCACAUGGCCAGCAGGAAACAAGAAAACCCCUUAGGCACAAAAAAAAAUUAAAAUAUUGAAGGACUUCUUAAAAGUGACCCAAUUGACUGUAUGAAUUUAGGCAAGGUCUAGUCACUUCUUUAAGGUCUGGAGGGGAAUUGAAAUCUGCAGAAGAAACACUCUCCUGACAGCUGGGAUCUCCCUGCAGGCAGAGCGAAGGUGCAGGGUAUGGAUCUCAUCAAAGACAGGUUUGUGCUCAUCCAUGCCUUGCCAGUUCUGCUCACUUUGAUGAUAAAAUUCCUUCUCGCUGCAAUUUCAAGGAAAUGGGGAGAAAACACACCAAAUACUUUGGAAAAUGUCACUAUGGCUUUUCGAACAAUUUUGUGUUAAGGAGGCAAUGUUUUGUCUCUAAAGGGGAUUUGCA